UGGGGAAUAUUGCGCAAUGGGCGCAAGCCUGAUGCAGCCAUGCCGCGUGUGUGAAGAAGGCCUUCGGGUUGUAAAGCACUUUCAGCGAGGAGGAAGGUGGUGAACUUAAUACGUUCAUCAAUUGACGUUACUCGCAGAAGAAGCACCGGCUAACUCCGUGCCAGCAGCCGCGGUAAUACGGAGGGUGCAAGCGUUAAUCGGAAUUACUGGGCGUAAAGCGCACGCAGGCGUUUGUUAAGUCAGAUGUGAAAUCCCCGGGCUCAACCUGGGAACUGCAUUUGAAACUGGCAAGCUAGAGUCUCGUAGAGGGGGGUAGAAUUCCAGGUGUAGCGGUGAAAUGCGUAGAGAUCUGGAGGAAUACCGGUGGCGAAGGCGGCCCCCUGGACGAAGACUGACGCUCAGGUGCGAAAAGCGUGGGGGAGCAAACAGGAUUAGAUACCCCU
rnacentral:rRNA from 1 species